CUUCCUUCCUCUCUUCCCUUGAAUCUGUCCACAUUCAUUUGCUUAAGCCCCAAGUUCUUCUCCUUCUCCUUUACUCUACAUGUUUUCAAAACCAGAAAUUCAGAUUGAAGAAUUCAACCAAAAAUCAAUUCCAUUCCUCUCCUCUCUUGUUUCUCUGGUUCAAACUAACCCCCACCACCACCACUGCUCAACCACCGACCAUUGCACCUAGCCUCAGCCACCCAGCACCACGCAACCACCACACCGCAAUCACCUCAACCACUCGACCACCACCCUCACCCUGCUCUCCACCUCCCUCGAACUCCCCUGCCCCUCCCCUGUUUCUUUUCUCUUUCCUUGCUCACAACACCACCAACGCAACGCCCCACCAUCGUCCAGCAUAACCACCACUGGCGCAACCCUUCCGCGCCGCCUAGCCAGCCUCCAACGACCUCCCUCCUCCCCAUAACUGAUCGGAAAACCGCUCCCCAACUCCCCUGUUUUCUCGCCUCCCUCGCACUCCCUCCUCCCUCUCUCGCCUGUAUCACCACCGCACGAGCAACCACCACCAUCACCGUCGCCUCUAGGCGCGGUUCACGGUGAUGCGCCGCCCAGCCAUCCGCCGCAGCUCUCCCUCCCCUUCGUGACCCCCUGUGCCGUGCACCACUCGACUCCCCUGCUUCUCCCCAGUCGUGCCCCCUUUCUCCCUCUUGCUCGUUGUUCGACCACCGCAGACCACCCACCAGCACCGGCGCAACCCUGCUGCGCCGCCCAGCCUCCCUUUCUCCAUCCUCUCUUCUCUCCUCUUCGUGCUUCCCUUUCCCCUGUUUCGGCCCUCCCCUGUUCCGUGUUCUUGUUCCCAGAAAACCCAAAAUCAGGUUUCAAAUGAAACCUUGAUUUUAUUUUCCUCAAACCCAAUCUAAGGUUGGGCCAUUUUGGUUUGGGCCUUGAAAUUGGACUCGGAGCUCAGGACGAACGAACCAAGGAAAAUCCUUAGCAAAAAUCGCGGAGAUAGGUACCGCUGGGAACGAUGGGAACGAGUAGUGGCGAGGAUUUCACUUUAAUAAUUUCCACCUAGUUUAUGUUUUAAGUUUUAAAUAGUUAAUUAAAUAUUUUUAGUGAGUUAUAUACUUUAUUUUGGUAAUAUAAAGGAUUAUUAUGUUAAUUUUGGAGGAUUUAAUAGCUUAAGAUUGAUGGUUGCCUUGUAAUUCCCAAGAGAGAGUUACGGCAGGUAAUGUCCCGACCGAUUAGGUUGAUUCCGCUGCUAAUUAUGAUUAAUAAUUGAAUUAGAGGUCGGGGUGUUACAGUUUGGUAUUCAGAGCCAAGGUUCUGGACCAUAAGUGCUAAACCUUACGGGUUUCGCACGAAAUAGAAUUCAUUAGGCUUUAAGCAAAGAGUUUUAAGGAAUUGGUUAAAAAGAAUUUUCUAAAAUCAUGUUAAUUAAGUUAAAAAUGAAUAUGAGUGUGAGCGUAGGAACGGGAUAAAAGGGCUUAUUUUAUACGAUUUAAUUGCUUUAAUUUGUUGAGACAUAUUAUGCUGAAUGUUGUCUAUCGAGGUUACUAAUGAUGUCCCCAAGGGAUCGCAACGAGCACCAUGAUAACCACAUUAUGCACGAGGAUUAUGCCAUAUCGAUGCAAUUAUGAGUGUUUUCUUUCCUAGUGAUUGUGAAUUAGAAAUUGUCCUAUGAUGUUAGAGAAAGUCGAGUUUUAGUAUCCUUUGACCUAUCUACGUUUGAUAUAAUUUUGGGAAUGAAUUAGUUGACUGAAUAUGAAGCUAACAUCAAUUGUUUAAAGCGUAGUGUGAUCA